GAUGAACGCUGGCGGCGUGCCUAAUACAUGCAAGUCGAGCGAACGGACGAGAAGCUUGCUUCUCUGAUGUUAGCGGCGGACGGGUGAGUAACACGUGGAUAACCUACCUAUAAGACUGGGAUAACUUCGGGAAACCGGAGCUAAUACCGGAUAAUAUUUUGAACCGCAUGGUUCAAAAGUGAAAGACGGUCUUGCUGUCACUUAUAGAUGGAUCCGCGCUGCAUUAGCUAGUUGGUAAGGUAACGGCUUACAAAGGCAACGAUGCAUAGCCGACCUGAUAGGGUGAGCGGCCACACUGGAACUGAGACACGGUCCAGACUCCUACGGGAGGCAGCAGUAGGGAAUCUUCCGCAAAGGGCGAAAGCCUGACGGAGCAACGCCGCGUGAGUGAUGAAGGUCUUCGGAUCGUAAAACUCUGUUAUUAGGGAAGAACAUAUGUGUAAGUAACUGUGAACAUCUUGACGGUACCUAAUCAGAAAGCCACGGCUAACUACGUG
rnacentral:rRNA from 1 species